rfam:Boseongicola aestuarii strain CECT 8489 genome assembly, contig: 0008
CCCCUUCCAACCGGCCCUCAAACACCCUAUAUUCAAUCUGUUCCGGCAACGGGACUAUGGACAUAAACGCGCUCGUAAUAAGCGGAUCGGACCCGGGGGCGGUACCCGGCGUCUCCACCAAAAAUCUCUCAUUUGGGGAUCAUGGGGACGAAAUAGGAUCGACGGACGUCUAAAGGGGUUUUGCUUUGUCUCGGUGAGGUACCACCGAUAUCGGUCCAUCAAAGCUAGUUGCAAAUGACAACAAAGCUCCAAUGGCGAUGGCUGCGUAAGCAGUCGGAACUAUUGAAACCUAAGUCCUUAGGCUUUGCGGUUUAAGGCGGGGUCCGCAGGCACCUGGCAACAGAAGCCUGCACU